GAGCUGCUUCGGUUUACGGCGCCGGGGCCGCCGCAGUCCGGAGUGCACGGCCCGCGGCCCCGCUCCCCGAGCUGCGUCCCAGCGCUUUCUGAGGGGACCCGGAGGGGAAAGGUUACGGUUAAGAUUUUGAGUACGAUUUUGUCAAGCUUCAAAUACCCUUCGUCCCCAUCCAGGUCUCCACCAAAGUUCCCACCGCGCAGACAACAGUUGCAGAAAUUUACUCUGGCAAAGGCGUCUUUUCAAGAUUCUGCUAAUUAAACGAAGGACCUCUGGUCUUAAAAGGCAAGGCUGCCCCCCGCUUUUGAAAAACCUCAGCGUUUCUUUCUUGCCAUAAAUAAACUUAAAAAUUUGUGGCUUAGACUGCUUAAUACCCUGACAGUUGCAUGAACAUAUCUGCCAGCCCACACUCAGUUCUCUGACGCUCCGGCGUUCAGCUGCAAGUGUGAGGCGAUGAGAGCCACAGAUGCCCACGGGGAAUACGGACGCCUGGAAACAAGGAUUUGGUAGAGAAGAAGAUAGUCUAUCACUGGGUGGUGAUUAUGUACAUCAUUAUGAUACAUCUCCAGUAAUGCACAUUAAUGCUGUUGAAUUAUGCUAGAAGGACAAAGGAAGACUUA
rnacentral:lncRNA from 1 species